GGGGUAAUGUCAUGUGUAGCGUUUUUGGAGCCUGGAUGGCGCUUUGAGCCCUCUUUCUUUCAUCACGUUCCUCAAGCCGUACACCUGUCUCCAAUCAGCCCUCGUCACCACCUACUUAUAAGCCUGCCUGUUCCCGGAAAUCCUCGCCAAAGUAUUGCAGUUACCGUAUUUUCACGACGAUAAGGUGCACUUAAAAGUCUUACAUUUUCUCUAAAAUGGACGGGGUGCGCCUUAUAGUGCGUGGCACGCCUUGUAUGCACCGAGUUCCAACAUCUAUAAAUGUUGUUGUGUGAUGAGAGCUCUGCUUGACUUCCCCCCCGCUGCUUAUACAGAGGAAAAGCAGACAUAAAGGGGGAAGGGUGCGUGAAGGAGGGACGCUACAGCCAAGCCCCCAGUAGGUAUAUAGCGUUGGGGUGUGCAUUAUGCAAAACAUCAGUUUGGCUAAGGACCCCGCUGAAAAUGGCACCUACGAAGAGACGAGUUUAUGAAGCACAGUUUAAACUGCAAGCUGUCAGUUACGCGGAGGAACAUGGGAAUCGAGCAGCCGCGAGAGAAUUCAAGAUCAACGAAUCCAUGGUUCGCAAGUGGCGGAAGCAGGAAGACGAAGCUGAGUUUCCGCGGAAACAAGGCGAGGUGGCCCGAGUUGGAAGAGCAAUGGAUUAAUGAGCAAUGAACAGCCGGGAGAAGCGUCUCUACAGUCACCAUUCGACUGAGGGCAAUAACACUUGCAGAAGAAAGGAAAAUCGAACAUUUUCAACGAGGUCCGUCUUUGGGGCUUUCGUUUUAUGAAACGGCGCCAUUUAUCCAUCCGGGCAAGGACUACCGUGGCGCAGCAAUUUCCGGCAGAUUACAAGGAAAAGCUGGCGUGAGAGCGAUGGAUGACAGAUGGCGAACACAGCUUUACUAAGACUAGGAGGCAGCGCCUGGUGAGUUAACGCCACCAUAUGUGAAUGGAUUGUGGAUGCUUGGGCUAACGUGUCUGUUUACACUGUUGUUCGAGCUUUCGUAAAAGCCGGCAUUUCUGAGGAGCCGCACGGCAACGAGACUGACUCCAACGAGUACUAGAGGGAACCUGGCGUGUUUGAUUAUUAACUUGCCCAGCUGUUCAUUUCAGAUACAGAAGAUGAGGACUUUGAUGGAUUUGUGGAUGAGAAUUGAUAAAAAAAUAACCGUUUUCCCCCGUGUUCCUGAUCCACGUCAUUCCUGCCAGCUGCCUGUCCUCACCACAGCCUGCCACCUGUCCUCGCCACUGCCUGCUAACCCACCUAAGACCACCUCCAUUACCUUUCCUAAAUAAAACGUUCAUCAUAAUC